CCCACAUUAAGGCGCAGCGUGAAAGGAAGAGGCCCCUUGGCCAGGCAAAGCUCUCACGGAGGCCCCACGCUGCCUUGGCAGAGGCAGGCACAGAAUCCAAGCUUUGGCACGCAGGUUGCAGCUUCUGCCCAGUGCCCACAGUUUGCCCA